rnacentral:rRNA from 1 species
CCUANGGGUGGCAGCAGUGAGGAAUAUUGCUCAAUGGGCGAAAGCCUGAAGCAGCGACGCCGCGUGAGGGAUGAAAUCCGUUAGGAUGUAAACCUCUUUUGCGAGGGAAGAAUAUCCGCUUUUAGCGGAGGUGACUGUACCUCGUGAAUAAGCACCGGCCAACUACGUGCCAGCAGCCGCGGUAAUACGUAGGGUGCAAGCGUUGUCCGGAAUUACUGGGUGUAAAGGGUCCGCAGGCGGGCAAGCAAGUCGGUGGUGAAAGUUCACGGCUCAACCGUGAAAUUGCCUUCGAUACUGCUUGUCUUGAGUUCGAGAGAGGAUAAUGGAAUUCAUGGUGUAGCGGUGAAAUGUGUAGAGAUCAUGAAGAACACCGGUAGCGAAGGCGGUUAUCUGGCUCGAAACUGACGCUCAGGGACGAAAGCGUGGGUAGCAAACAGGAUUAGAUACCCCANUANUC